rnacentral:rRNA from 1 species
CACGUAGGGGACGAGCGUUGUCCGGAUUCAUUGGGCGUAAAGCGCGCGUAGUCGGCUUUGCAAGUCGGGUGUGAAAUCCCCGGGCUCAACCUGGGAACUGCAUCCGAGACUGCAUUGCUAGAGUAUGGGAGAGGGAAGCGGAAUUUCUGGUGUAGCAGUGAAAUGCGUAGAUAUCAGAAGGAACAUCAGUGGCGAAGGCGGCUUCCUGGACCAAUACUGACGAUCAGGUGCGAAAGCGUGGGGAGCAAACAGG